UACAGAGGUCUCAAGCGUUGUUCGGAUUCAUUGGGCGUAAAGGGUGCGUAGGCGGCGCGGUAAGUCGGGUGUGAAAUUUCGAGGCUUAACUUCGAAACUGCAUUCGAUACUGGCAGGCUGGAAUCCGGGAGAGGGAUGCGGAAUUCCAGGUGUAGCGGUGAAAUGCGUAGAUAUCUGGAGGAACACCGGUGGCGAAGGCGGCGAUCCUAGGACCGGUAUUGACACUGAGGCGCGAAAGCCAGGGGGAGCAAAACGGG
rnacentral:rRNA from 1 species